AUAUUUAAGUUGCUGCAGUUAAAAAGCUCGUAGUUGGAUUUCGGAUGGGUUCCGUCGGUCCGCCGUUUCGGUGUGCACUGACGGCGCCUAUCUUGCUGUCGGGGACGGGCUCCUGGGCUUCACUGUCCGGGACUCGGAGUCGACGAGGUUACUUUGAGUAAAUUAGAGUGUUCAAAGCAGGCCUACGCUCUGAAUACAUUAGCAUGGAAUAACACGAUAGGACUCUGGCCUAUCUUGUUGGUCUGUAGGACCGGAGUAAUGAUUAAGAGGGACAGUCGGGGGCAUUCGUAUUUCAUUGUCA
rnacentral:rRNA from 1 species